rnacentral:rRNA from 1 species
ACGGGAGGCAGCAGUGAGGAAUAUUGGUCAAUGGGCGGAAGCCUGAACCAGCCAAGUCGCGUGAAGGAAGACGGUAUUAUGUAUUGUAAACUUCUUUAGACGCAGAGAAAUAAGGGGCUCGCGAGCUCUGAUGCUAGUAUGCGUAGAAUAAGGAUCGGCUAACUCCGUGCCAGCAGCCGCGGUAAUACGGAGGAUCCGAGCGUUAUCCGGAUUUAUUGGGUUUAAAGGGUGCGCAGGCGGCGCUUCAAGUCAGUGGUCAAAUCGGGAGGCUCAACCUCAUCCCGCCAUUGAUACGGGAGCGCUUGAUUGCGGUUGAGGUAGGCGGAAUUCGUCGUGUAGCGGUGAAAUGCAUAGAUAUGACGAAGAACCCCGAUUGCGUAGGCAGCUUACCAAGCCGUAAAUGACGCUCAUGCACGAAAGUGCGGGGAUCGAACAGGAUUAGAUACCCUGGUA